rnacentral:tRNA from 1 species
CCACGGAUAGCUCAGUUGGGAGAGCAUCAGAUCGUUAAUCUGACUGUCGAAGGUUCGAAUCCUUCUCCAUUGGCCU